rnacentral:rRNA from 1 species
AUGGGCGCCGAGGCAGAGCAGCAGCAGCAGCUUCCUCCUCCCUCCCCCCAGGCCGGCAAGGCGGACCCGCCGGCGGUGGUGGGGCUGCAGGUGUCGGCGCUGAUCGACCACGUCGCACGCGUCGACUGGUCCCUCCUCGACCGCGUCCCCGGCGACCGCGGCGGCUCGCAGCAGGUAUCUUUUGAGGAGUUGGAUCAUAUUCUGAAUGAAGUGAAUGCCCUUAUCCUUCCUUCCCAUGACGACCCCUCUCCAGUUAGAACUAUGGCUGGUGGUAGUGUUGCCAACACAGUUCGGGGUCUCUCAGCUGGUUUUGGGAUAUCAACUGGAAUAAUUGGAGCUCGUGGAGAUGAUGACCAGGGCAUUUUGUUUGUCAACAACAUGAGCUUUAGUGGCGUAGAUCUCACAAGAUUAAGGGCAAAAAAGGGGCACACUGCACAGUGUGCAUGCUUGGUUGAUGCAAGUGGCAAUCGCACCAUGCGCCCAUGCCUAUCUAGUGCAGUCAAGCUCCAGGCCAAUGAGUUCACUAAGGAGGACUUCCAAGGCUCCAAGUGGCUGGUUGUGAGAUAUGCACAACAAAACCUCGCUCAGAUUAUUGAGGCUAUCAGGGUUGCAAAACAAGAAGGUCUCUCGGUAUCAUUAGAUUUGGCUAGUUUUGAGAUGGUUCGCGACUAUAGGUCACAACUAAUUGCCCUGUUGGAGACAGGCAACAUUGACCUUUGUUUCGCCAAUGAGGAUGAAGCUAGGGAGAUCAUAGGGGGAGGGCUGACAUAUGAUCCAGAGGAUGCGCUUGCGUUCUUGUCCAAGCACUGCAAAUGGGCUGUGGUGACUCUCGCUUCAAAGGGGUGCAUCGCAAAACAUGGCAAGCAGGUAGUUCAUGUGCCGGCCAUCGGGGAGAGCAACGCGGUGGAUGCCACCGGUGCGGGCGACCUGUUCGCGAGCGGGUUCCUGUACGGGCUGGUGAAAGGGCUCCCCCUGGAGGAGUGCUGCAAGGUCGGGGUGUGCAGUGGCGGGUCGGUGGUCAGGGCCCUCGGCGGGGAGGUGAGGCCGGAGAACUGGCAGUGGAUGUACAAGCAGAUGCACGCCGGUGGGCUGCUCCUCCCGGAGCUCAAGAACUGA